GUACAAUUGUAAGCACAAUCAGUCAAAUAUUCCUUCUGGAAACCCCUAAUGAUCACUGUAUGUGGACAUCGUGCAACAUGAUUGUAUGAAUGAGGACCAGUGUGUUAUUGUUGGAAAUGGUGGAGAAAUGGUUGUAUGGUGUGUGCAGAUCCAAGAAAAUGAAUGAAUCCCAAGCAGAAGAAACAUGAAGGAAAUUCCACCAAGGCAUGUCAUAUUCAAAUUACUCAAAUACCGGUGAUAAAGAGAAAAUCUUUACAAUAGUCAAAGAAAAAAGACAUUAUGUGCAAAGGAACAAAGAAAAAGUGCUGGCGUCAGAAAUUUUUGGAGCUGAAAUGACAAAAAUUCUGAACGAUGCUACAAAAAUGGCUAAACUUAUCAAAGGCUGGUUCACUGAAGAAUAUUUAAAAAACUACGUGGAAAUCUGGACAAAGACCAUAUAAAUGCAGAAAAUCUUAUGGCUUAGGAGAUCAUUUGUUCUAAGGAUGUUUGAGCUAAAAAGUGAAAUGUGGGAGUACUUUCAAGAAAAUAGUAGGCUACAUUUUGCCAAAUGCUUUGAAGACCAAGAAUGGUUACAGACUUGCCUACUUAGUAGACAUUUUUCAUCACAUGAACUAGUUGAAUAAGUAUCUUGAAGGGGUUGGAGAAAAUAUUUUAAUUUCAAGUGACAAGAUUCUUGGUUUUAAACAGAAAUUGACUCUUUGGAAAAAUCAUACGGCAGAAAGAAACCUUGAAAUAUUUCCACUGCUGCUUACAUUUCAAAGUGAGGCAGUCUCAAGUGUCAAGUUUAAACCAAACCACCUGGGGAAAUUGCAGAACAACACAGAACAUAUUUUCCCUCUCUUUCAACACAAGUGUAUGACUGAAUGAGGGCUCCUUUUUCUGAAUCUUCUUUUCAGCCUGAGCACCUGACUUUUGAGAGAAGAGAAAGAUCUUUGUUAGUUGGUUAUAAACGUAAGAUGAAAUUUACUGAUCUGCCUUUGUACAAGUUCUGCAUUUCUAUGAAAGAGCA